AGACGGAGGGUGCAAGCGGUAAUCGGAAUUACUGGGCGUAAAGCCCUCGUAGGCGGCUUGUUAAGUCGGAUGUGAAAGCCCCGGGCUCAACCUGGGAACUGCAUUCGAUACUGGCAGGCUAGAGUAUAGUAGAGGAAAGUGGAAUUCCUGGAGUAGCGGUGAAAUGCGUAGAUAUCAGGAGGAACACCAGUGGCGAAGGCGACUUUCUGGACCGGUUCUGACGCUGAGGAGCGAAAGCCAGGGGAGCGAACAGGAUUAGAUACCCCAGUAGUCC
rnacentral:rRNA from 1 species